CAGAAAGACAGAGACUUUCUACAAUCUCAGAAUCACCAAUACCCUCAGAUUCCGACAGUGAAGGGUCUGGGGUUCUGUGAGGAGUAGCUGAGGGAGCUGGGGCUGGAAGAGAGGCUCAGGGCAGACCUUUUCACUUUCUACAAUUCCCUGACAGGAGGGCGCAGCCAGAUGGAGGUCGGGCUCUUCCCACAGGCAACAGCGACAGGACAAGAGGACAUAGGUGUGCAAAAGAGCUGGAAGAGACAUCCAGCCUGUUCCCUAUUGCAGAGAAGAUUUCAUUGC